GUAUGGUGCAAGCGUUAUCCGGAUUUAUUGGGCGUAAAGGGCUCGUAGGUGGUUGAUCGCGUCGGAAGUGUAAUCUUGGGGCUUAACCCUGAGCGUGCUUUCGAUACGGGUUGACUUGAGGGAGGUAGGGGAGAAUGGAAUUCCUGGUGGAGCGGUGGAAUGCGCAGAUAUCAGGAGGAACACCAGUGGCGAAGGCGGUUCUCUGGGCCUUUCCUGACGCUGAGGAGCGAAAGCGUGGGGAGCGAACAGGCUUAGAUACCCUGGUAGUCCACGCCGUAAACGAUGACUGCUAGGUGUCGGGUGGCAAAGCCAUUCGGUGCCGCAGCUAACGCAAUAAGCAGUCCACCUGGGGAGU
rnacentral:rRNA from 1 species